rnacentral:rRNA from 1 species
ACGCUCGACACCUACGGGAGACAGCAGUGGGGAAUAUUGCACAAUGGGGGAAACCCUGAUGCAGCGACGCCGCGUGAGUGAAGAAGUAUUUCGGUAUGUAAAGCUCUAUCAGCAGGGAAGAAAAUGACGGUACCUGAGUAAGAAGCCCCGGCUAACUACGUGCCAACAGCCGCGGUAAUCUGAGCGGGCUGGCAAGGC